UCUUUUCUUGAAGCGAAAAGCAUUAAGACAGGCAACUUGUUUGUGUUUGCCCAUGGAGCAUUUGAUAGUCAAAAUAACGAGGAGGUAUUCUGCUCCAUGGUAAAGUGUUGUAUGCUGGUCAAUCCCUUGGGUUAAUUGUAGCCAGCUCAUAAAUCAUAGCAGCACGUGCGGCUAAAUUGAUCCGAAUUAUUACUUACAAAGACCAUCAAAAACCUGUUUUGACAAUAAAGGAAGCCAUGAAGGAUCCAGAGAGAACUAUGAUUCAUGCUGCUUUUGGACCACCAAACGUUUUUGACGCUGGUGACGUUCAAGAAGGUUUCUCUUUGUCUGAAACGGUGAUCGAAGGUGAAUUUGAAAUCGGUACUCAGUAUCAUUUUUAUAUGGAGACCCUGGUUGCUGUGUGCAUUCCAGUCGAAGAUGGCAUGAAUAUUUAUUGUUCUACUCAAGACCAAGAUGCAGUGCAAAACGCUGUCACCCGUUGCCUGAAACUCCAUAA